GGUUCUUGUAGUUGAGGUUUAUCAACGAUGGCUUUUCAAGCCGUAGACCUUGGAGAAAAGCCAAGCAGGAAUU
rnacentral:tRNA from 1 species